AGCAGCCGCGGUAAUUCCAGCUCCAAUAGCGUAUAUUAAAGUUGUUGCAGUUAAAAAGCUCGUAGUUGAAUUUCGGGAUUGACACAUCGGUCGUGCCUUAAGGGGUAUGAACUGGUGUAGUCAAUUUCUCACCUUCUGGAGAACCGCGAUGCCCUUAAUUGGGUGUCGCGGGGAACCAGGACCUUUACUUUGAAAAAUUAGAGUGUUUAAAGCAGGCAUUUUGCUUGAAUACAUUAGCAUGGAAUAAUAAAAUAGGACGGCAUGAUUCUAUUUUGGUGGUUUCUAGGAUCACCGUAAUGAUUAAUAGGGAUAGUUGGGGGCAUUAGUAUUCAAUUGUCAGAGGUGAAAUUCUUGGAUUUAUUGAAGACUAACUACUGCGAAAGCAUUUGCCAAGGAUGUUUUCAUUAAUCAAGAACGAAAGUUAGGGGAUCGAAGACGAUCAGAUACCGU
rnacentral:rRNA from 1 species